rnacentral:rRNA from 1 species
AUCUACGGCCAUACCACCCUGAAUGCACCCAAUCUCAUCUAAUCUCGGAAGAUAAGCAGGGUCAGGCCUGGUUAGCACUUGGAUGGGAGACUGCUUGGGAAUACCAGGUGCUGUAGGCU